rnacentral:rRNA from 1 species
GGCAUACGUAGUGCGGGUCUUUGGGCCACCUCCCAUCCGUGUCUAUUAUACCCUGUUGCUUCGGCGGGCCCGCCGCUUGUCGGCCGCCGGGGGGGCGCCUUUGCCCCCCGGGCCCGUGCCCGCCGGAGACCCCAACACGAACACUGUCUGAAAGCGUGCAGUCUGAGUUGAUUGAAUGCAAUCAGUUAAAACUUUCAACAAUGGAUCUCUUGGUUCCGGCAUCGAUGAAGAACGCAGCGAAAUGCGAUAACUAAUGUGAAUUGCAGAAUUCAGUGAAUCAUCGAGUCUUUGAACGCACAUUGCGCCCCCUGGUAUUCCGGGGGGCAUGCCUGUCCGAGCGUCAUUGCUGCCCUCAAGCCCGGCUUGUGUGUUGGGUCGCCGUCCCCCUCUCCGGGGGGACGGGCCCGAAAGGCAGCGGCGGCACCGCGUCCGAUCCUCGAGCGUAUGGGGCUUUGUCACAUGCUCUGUAGGAUUGGCCGGCGCCUGCCGACGUUUUCCAACCAUUUUUUCCAGGUUGACCUCGGAUCAGGUAGGGAUACCCGCUGAACUUAAGCAUAUCAAUAAACCGGAGGAACCCA